AUUGAACGCUGGCGGCAUGCCUUACACAUGCAAGUCGAACGGCAACACGGGGCAACCUGGUGGCGAGUGGCGAACGGGUGAGUAAUGCAUCGGAACGUGCCAUUGAGUGGGGGAUAACGUAGCGAAAGUUGCGCUAAUACCGCAUAUUCUGUGAGCAGGAAAGCAGGGGGACCGCAAGGCCUUGCGCUCUUUGAGCGGCCGAUGUCAGAUUAGCUAGUUGGUGAGGUGACGGCUUACCAAGGCGACGAUCUGUAGCGGGUCUGAGAGGAUGAUCCGCCACACUGGAACUGAGACACGGUCCAGACUCCUACGGGAGGCAGCAGUGGGGAAUUUUGGACAAUGGGCGCAAGCCUGAUCCAGCCAUGCCGCGUGAGUGAAGAAGGCCUUCGG
rnacentral:rRNA from 1 species